rnacentral:rRNA from 1 species
UACGAAGGGGCUAGCGUUGUUCGGAUUUACUGGGCGUAAAGCGCACGUAGGCGGAUUGUUAAGUCAGGGGUGAAAUCCUGGAGCUCAACUCCAGAACUGCCUUUGAUACUGGCAAUCUUGAGUCCGGAAGAGGUGAGUGGAAUUCCUAGUGUAGAGGUGAAAUUCGUAGAUAUUGGGAAGAACACCGGUGGCGAAGGCGGCAACCUGGUCCUUGACUGACGCUGAGGCGCGAAAGCGUGGGGAGCAAACAGG